GUUCCCGUGACGCAGCGGUUAGCGUGCUACUCUUAUAACUGUUAGGCCCGUCCUAACUGAGUAUGACGAUAUGUAGAAGUCGCGAGUUCGAUCCUCGCCGGGAACA